UUUCUGCCAGUUAGUCUCGCCGAGAUACUAGGAUAGCGACAGGACAUCAGCCUUUAACCAUCACCCUUGAACCGUGGACGGUACAAACCUCAAUAUUGUCGGGGCGGAUAAACCGGUCCUGCCGCAACCUUUCCCUCGAUCGAACCGUCGAAAUUAUUCUUAUUUUCGAAUAUUGUUGAAAAUUAUUUACGAAAAAAAAUUCCUCGAUUCUCUUCUCGAGAAAUGAAACGCGCGACGAGAAAUCGUUUAUGAGUGCGGACAUAUGCAUAUGCAUAUCCACGGGUGGACGAUAUCCAUUCGACGGUGUAACAGGUGUAUUCCUUCCCCUCUGUGAGAUACGACCUACCUUUCCGGUCAAUCUAACUUAAGAUAUUAACAUCUGGAUACGCGUGUUCAAAUAUUAUCGUGUAAUCCGGAUAAUAGAAGUGAAAAGAGGCGAUCGAUAUAUUACGAGAAACGAGCUACGAGAAGAGCACACGUGUGUGUAUAUGGUAUGGUAUAUAUUUUAUAUAUACACAUAUAUACCAAGGAGAACGGUCGUGACUUUAAAACUUAUAUACGUGAUGUAUCGAAUGCAACAGUCGAAGGCAUUUUAUACGUCUGACAGCUGUCGGUGGCAACGCUUACUAUCAUCCAGUUUGUAUUACACCUACCAUAAAGUUACGCGAGAAAUCGAUUUCUCGUUUUCCGUUACCUAGGAACGGAAUCGUAAAAUAAAAUCCAUAAGAGGCAAUGUUUCUGAAUUUUUCAAACAACCCGUAUGAAACCGCGGAUACCGUCUCUUCGUUUUGUCAUUCCUCUUAUCGCCCACGUAUGCACAUUUUCUACUCCGCCCCUCCCCUUACAUCCUCGAAUACGUCCUCCUCCCUUUUUCCCCCACGACCCUUUUUCAUUCUUGAUACGCGAAAGAAAAAAAGAUGCAAAAAUUGUCUGUCUAGGCAUUCCACGUCUCUCCACGUGAGCGAGACAGGAUCGGUGAAGAAAGGAGAGACGAGGGGAGAGCGAAUAGGCGGCAAGAAGAAUAAAGGGAGGAGAAAAAAAAAAAGAAAGGAGAAAGUCGCGAGACAUUACCGGGAACCUCGCGAUGGAAAUUGAAUUUCCAGGUCGAAAGUUCUCCGGGGAUUUCCACCGUUACGUUGUAACGCUACGCGAAGAGAGGUUUCUUUGGUAAACCAAGAAACAAGGAGACAAACUCUGCUCGACGAGUCGAUGGAGCGAGUUACGAGACGAGUUACGUGAAAUUAGUAUCUUUGACCUGGAUGAAAAUCGGCUCGCCUCUGCGACACGAAUAAUUUCAUUGCAUUUCUGCGAUACGACGAUACGA